CCUACGGGUGGCAGCAGUGAGGAAUAUUGGUCAAUGGACGCGAGUCUGAACCAGCCAAGUAGCGUGAAGGAUGACUGCCCUCUGGGUUGUAAACUUCUUUUAUAUGGGAAUAAAACGUUCCACGUGUGGGAUUUUGUAUGUACCAUAUGAAUAAGGAUCGGCUAACUCCGUUCCAGCAGCCGCGGUAAUACGGAGGAUCCGAGCGUUAUCCGGAUUUAUUGGGUUUAAAGGGAGCGUAGGUGGAUUGUUAAGUCAGUUGUGAAAGUUUGCGGCUCAACCGUAAAAUUGCAGUUGAGACUGGCAGUCUUGAGUACAGGAGAGGUGGGCGGAAUGCGUGGUGUAGCGGUGAAAUGCUUAGAUAUCACGAAGAACUCCGAUUGCGAAGGCAGUUCACUGGACUGCAACUGACACUGAGGCUCGAAAGUGUGGGUAUCAAACAGGAUUAGAUACCCUUGUAGUC
rnacentral:rRNA from 1 species